GCGCAAGGGUGCGUAACACGUGGGAAUCUGCCGUGAAGUUGGGGAUAACUCGCUGAAAGGCGAGCUAAUACCGAAUGUGAUCGCAAGAUCAAAGCUGGGGAUCGCAAGACCUGGCGCUUUACGAUGAGCCCGCGGCCUAUCAGCUAGUUGGCGGUGUAAAAGACCACCAAGGCGAAGACGGGUAGCUGGUCUGAGAGGACGACCAGCCACACUGGAACUGAGACACGGUCCAGACACCUACGGGUGGCAGCAGUCGAGAAUUUUUCUCAAUGGGCGCAAGCCUGAAGGAGCGACGCCGCGUGGGGGAUGAAGGGUUUCGAUCCGUAAACCCCUGUCAUUUGUGAACAAGGGUCGUCCGAUAACACCGGACGGCUUGAUAGUAAUGAAAGAGGAAGGGACGGCUAACUCUGUGCCAGCAGCCGCGGUAAUACAGAGGUCCCGAGCGUUGUUCGGAUUCACUGGGCGUAAAGGGUGCGUAGGUGGUGAGGCAAGUCGGAUGUGAAAGCUCCGGGCUCAACCCGGAAAUGGCAUUGGAAACUGCCUUGCUGGAGGUUUGGAGGGGGGACUGGAAUUCUCGGUGUAGCAGUGAAAUGCGUAGAUAUCGAGAGGAACACCAGUGGCGAAGGCGGGUCCCUGGACAACACCUGACACUGAGGCACGAAAGCUAGGGGAGUAAACAGGAUUAGAUACCCUGUAGUCCUAACCCU
rnacentral:rRNA from 1 species